AUGCUGAUUGCCAGUGUGCUGAAGGCAGUCAUAGCCUCCAUCUGUCUUGGAUCCAGCAUGACCCAGAAGGUAAUUCAAGCCCAGUCUGCAAUUUCUGUGGUGGAGAAGGAGGCUGUAACCUUGAACUGUGUAUAUGAAGUUAGCAGUUACAAUUAUUACUUAUUUUGGUACAAACAACCAUCAAGUGGGAAAAUGACUUACCUUAUGCACCAGGAGUCUUAUAAUGAGCAAAAUACCACAGAGGGUCGAUAUUCUCUGAACUUCCAGAAAUCAGCCAGUUCCAUCAACCUCACCAUCACAGACUCGCAGCUCGGGGACUCAGCGGUGUAUUUCUGUGCUUUGAGAGAUGCCACAGUGAUGUGGGUGCCUGUCAGGGCCCCACAAAAUCAUCAACAUGAGAUAGAGGCCCUGGGGAGGGACUCCAUCACAUACAGGAUGAAGCAGCCCCCCGACCCCCACUGUCCUGACAAGCCCCAGGUCCUGAUGCAGGAAGAGCAGGUGAUUGAUGUGUAA